CGGGGAUAAAGCAGCCUCCCCGCUUCAAGACAAUUCAUCGUCCAAGGUCUGC
rfam:Gallionellales bacterium RIFCSPHIGHO2_02_FTLL_57_16 rifcsphigho2_02_scaffold_9460, whole genome shotgun sequence.